rnacentral:rRNA from 1 species
AUACGGAGGGAGCUAGCGUUGUUCGGAAUUACUGGGCGUAAAGCGCGCGUAGGCGGCUAUUUAAGUCAGGGGUGAAAUCCCGGGGCUCAACCCCGGAACUGCCUUUGAAACUGGAUAGCUAGAAUCUUGGAGAGGUCAGUGGAAUUCCGAGUGUAGAGGUGAAAUUCGUAGAUAUUCGGAAGAACACCAGUGGCGAAGGCGACUGACUGGACAAGUAUUGACGCUGAGGUGCGAAAGCGUGGGGAGC